GACGAACGCUGGCGGCGUGCCUAAUACAUGCAAGUAGAACGCUGAAGAGAGGAGCUUGCUCUUCUUGGAUGAGUUGCGAACGGGUGAGUAACGCGUAGGUAACCUGCCUGGUAGCGGGGGAUAACUAUUGGAAACGAUAGCUAAUACCGCAUAAAAUGGAUUAUCGCAUGAUAAUCCAUUGAAAGGUGCAAAUGCAUCACUACCAGAUGGACCUGCGUUGUAUUAGCUAGUUGGUGGGGUAACGGCUCACCAAGGCGACGAUACAUAGCCGACCUGAGAGGGUGAACGGCCACACUGGGACUGAGACACGGCCCAGACUCCUACGGGAGGCAGCAGUAGGGAAUCUUCGGCAAUGGACGGAAGUCUGACCGAGCAACGCCGCGUGAGUGAAGAAGGUUUUCGGAUCGGAAAGCUCUGUUGUAAGAGAAGAAAGAGUGUGAGAGUGGAAAGUUCACACUGUGACGGUAUCUUACCAGAAAGGGACGGCUAACUACGUG
rnacentral:rRNA from 1 species